UACGUAGGGUGCAAGCGUUGUCCGGAAUUAUUGGGCGUAAAGAGCUCGUAGGCGGUCUGUUGCGUCCGCUGUGAAAACUCGGGGCUUAACCCCGAGCCUGCAGUGGAUACGGGCAGACUAGAGGUAGGUAGGGGAGAAUGGAAUUCCCGGUGUAGCGGUGAAAUGCGCAGAUAUCGGGAGGAACACCGGUGGCGAAGGCGGUUCUCUGGGCCUUACCUGACGCUGAGGAACGAAAGCGUGGGGAGCGAACAGG
rnacentral:rRNA from 1 species